UUCCACAACACUGAAAGAGAGACUAAACAAAGCAAACUGGAAAAGCUGCUUGGUGUUGUCACCUGAGGAGUCUAGACAGUGACUGCUCUAACGUCAAGAGUGAAGACAACAUGGAGUAGAGCCCCUGGCUGCCCUGUGAUGGACAUAUGAUGUUGCACAUGCCUGCCUACCAAGUAACAGAAAGAUGCUGCCAUUGCACUGUGAGCUGAGAUUCACAUGGAACUGUUCCAUAGAGCUAUGGCUGGAA